ensembl:lncRNA
GCUUUUAAAAGUCUUUUAUAAGCACUUCCAAAAAGUCUCUUUGGGCUUUGGGUCUUUUGGCUGACCAAUUCAUAUCAUCAUUUGAUAUUUCUUCUGUGGAUAUUCUGUGCUCAUCUGAGUUUGGGUUUUGGUCUGCCCUGUCACCAUAGUAGCUUUCUGUGGUCAAGGUUCUUUUCUGUUUUUUGCUUAUUUUUCCCCCUUCCUUUAGGUAUUUACUUUUUUUACUUUUUUAUUUUUGUUAUUUUAAUUUUUUUUUAAACUUUUAUGCUGAGCUCUGCUACUGGGGUAAAGGUGGUGCUGUCCUAAGCUUCCUAUAUAGCUCUGAACUUGGCUUUGAGCACAGGGGCCUCUUGUGUUUAUAGAGCGUAGUUUUGCCUGCUCUUUUCAGGAAACAGCCUGAUUUCCCAGAGUUUGCCUUCUGAGCUGAGACUGGAAAGUGCCCUACUGAUUUGCUCUUCUACUGAGCCAGAACUGAUGGCUCAGUAGUGGCUGAUUUGCUGUGAUUAAGACCCUCUUAUCAGCUUUCCCAGAGUUUAGCAGAGCAGGGCUGAACACCCCUUUCACCCUAGUGAGAUUGACCUUUCUUGAAGUUUUUCCAGUCUGCCUUGAGCUGAAGAGUGGUUUUGUUCCCUCAGACUCUCUUCAGAGGUUUGGUUUCAUGUGGUUUUUCAGGGGAAACUGAGGAAGCUUCAACAGAUCCCUGACUUUACUCUGCCAUCUUGACUCCAUCCCCAGAAGUCUCAUAUUCUGCUUUCUCUGAUUUAAUCCUUCCUCCAUAUGACAGAUCUUCAGAUACUUAGGGUCAUUGAAGAUGAGAUAAUUGAGGUCAUGAGAGGUCACUCAAGUAAUAUCAGAGAUGAGAUUUGAACAUAGGUGCUCUCCAGAGUGAGUGCUCUUUCUGAGCAUGACUAUCAUGUCUCUGCUCCUUCUUCCCUGCCCUCUGCAAUCUUCCUGAGGCUAAAUAUUCCUAGUUUCUUCAAUUGAAACUCUUGUGGUAGAAUCAAGGUCCUUCACUAUCCUGAUCUCCCUUAAAUGGAGGUUUUUGGGCUUAAUGACCAAUAUCCUUCUUAAACUGAUACAGAACAAUACUAUAGAUGUCAUCUGAUCAUGACGAAAUACUGUGGGAUUUUCACUGGUUGUAGUGAGCUAUGCUUUUCUUAAAAUACCUCAAGAUCACAUAUCACAUUAUUGACGUAAGUUGAGCUUUCAAGUAUAUUAAAAUACCAAGAUUUUUUUUCCCCACACAAACUACUAUCUAAACAUGUCUUUUUCAUCUGGUGCUUGUGAAGUUAAUUUUUUGAACCUAAGUGCAACACAUUACAUUAUUAAAUUUAUUCUUCAAGAUUCAAGUAUGUCUAGAUUGGAUCCUCUUGUCAUCCAAUGAUUCAGUAAGAUUUAUUAAGCAUAUCAGGACUUGUAGUAGGCAUAUACAGAAAAAAAGAAAUAAUUCUUACCAUCAAUUCAUCCUGUAUGUAAUUUGUUUGUACAUAAGUAUUUGCAUGUUAUCUUCCCAAUUAGACUAUGAGUUCCUUGAGAUCAGGAGUAUUUUUUCCCUUUCUUUGUAUAUUUGAUGCUUAGCACAGUGCCUAGGCACAAGUAGGAACUUAAUAAAUUCUAGUUGACCAACUGAAAAAGAAAUCAAAACAAUAAUGAAGCCUAAAGCAGUGCUAAAAGGCACAGAAAAGAAAUAAAGCAAAGUAGGUGUAGUAAAUAAGGCCUAAGAAUAGUCAUAGAGGCUGAUUUGUGGCCUUCUAGCUACUUUCUAGCUGUGUGAUCUUGGAUAAGUCACCUAACCCUGUUUGCUUCAGUUUUCUCAUCUGUAAAAUGAGCUGGAGAAGGAAAUGGCAAACCACUUUGUUAUCUUUCCCAAGAAAAUCCCAAAUGAGUCAUGAAGAAUUGACCAUGACUGAAAAAUUGAACAACAAAAACAAGUUAUCUCCUAUAAGCCAGAUCACAAUGUUCUCACCAUUGAGACAGCAAAUUUUUUCAGGCCAAAGAUCUUUUCAGUAGUCUCAAUGAAUUACAUUAAAAAGGGGCAAUAUUUGUACUCCCAAAGAGGGAAAUCAACAACAGCAACAACAAAAAAGUAAGUGAAAGCUUCAAGUGGGAAGGAUCCUUUAUAUUUUUUCUGAUAGUUGGGAAGAUCAAAGAUGAAUCAUGAUGAGAAAGUGCUGGAAUUAGUAGGAAUUUCUGAUAUCAUACUUUAGGUGACCAUCAGAGAGCAAGAGAAUCCCUAUUAUCAGGCUACCUUGUAAAAUAUGGUUAGGGGAAACUGUCCCAGUGGUUUCUCACUUACUAAGCAUUGACUUUUUAUAAAUUUGAUUAAGCCCUUGACAUUUGUACUUGUACCCUCUAAAGUAUUAUGAAAGAUUUUCACAAAGCAGAUGGCAAAAAAUCAUACUACUCCUUAUCCUUAAUCUAACCCUAGACUAUAUAAUAGUUGGGAAUUUGAUUAUUGUGUGAAAGUAGACAGCUAUAAUAGGAAAAGUGUUAUACUGAAAGAUAAGAGAUCUAAACUUUAGACUUCCUGACAUUUUAUGUGAGCAUAAGCGGGGUGGUAAACAUUUCUGUACUUCAGGCAGCUAGACAGUUCAUAGAUAGAGUGCUGGGCUUAUAGUUGGGAAGAUAUCAUUGCAGAUCUUGCCUCAGAUAUUAGUUGUGUGAUCUUGGGCAAGUCACUUAAAUUUUCUUAGUUUCAGUUUUUUUUUUAGUUGCAAAAUGUGGAUAAUAAUAGCAUCACCAACUCCAUUGUUGUUGUGAGGAUUAAAUGAGAUAAUGUGUACAAAUCUUAAGUGCUAUAUAAAUGCUAGCUAUUAUACAUUGGAAGAGUAAUGAACCUGAAAGCAAGUUGCUUUUGAAUUAUGGUACUGCUACUUAAAAUUAUAGAUUUAGAGCUAGAAUGGGUCUAAGAGGUCACCGAAUUCAACUCCAUUAUUUCCAAGAUGAGAAAACUUAGGCUGAGAGAGGUUCAGUGAUUUAUCCAAUUUUACAAAACUAGUGUUUAAGGAAAGAUUUGGAUUCAAAUCUUUUCAACUUUAAAAGCCAGUUCUUUAUCUGCUAUAAAACCUUGAGCAAUCACUUAAGGCAAUCAAUUUUUUUCUUUCUCUAAGAGUCAUUUUCCUCCUCUGUGAAAGAAGGGGCUUGAACUAGAUGAUCUUUAAGAUUCUUUUUAGUAUUAACAUUUUCAAACAAUAAAUGUCAUUUCUUUUAUUUGAAGUCUGCAAGAUAAGGUUUUUACCAAAAAGAUAAAAAAAGAGAAGUAUCUAUUAUGUUCAGAAAUAUUUGUAGUUGUUCUUUUUGUUAUGUCCAAUGUCUUCAAUCUCCAAGAAAUUGGAGAUUGAGGGGUGCCCAUAAAUUGAGUAAUGGCUAAACAACUUAUGAAUGUGAUAGAAUACUAUAGUGGUAUAAGAAAUAAUGAGGAGGAUAGUUUUAGAAAGAUUUGCAAAGACAGAAACUGAUGCAAAGUGAAGUGAGCAGAACCAGGUUAAAAAUGUAUACAAUGACAAUAAUAUGGCAAAGAAAUAAUUUUGAAAGACUCAGCUACUCUAAUCAAUAUAAUAGAAUCAAUUCUAAAGGGCAUAUGAUGCAACUUCAUGUAGAGAACUAAUGGCUUCAGAAUGCAUAUUGAAUCAUAUUUCCUUUUCUUGGACAUGACUAAUGAAGAAAUUUAUGUUGCUUGGCUAUCUAUAUUUUGUAAGUUUUUGUUUUGUUUUUUGGCUUUCUCCAUGACUUGGAAAGGAGUAAGUGGGAGGGAAAGAAUUCAGAAUAAAAAAAAAAAGGUAAUCAAAAAGAAAAGCCUGGACAGAUAGUUUGUUGGAUAUUUUUGAGCAGAUAUUAGUUAAAUUAGAUAAUUUCUAUCCAUGCCCAGACACUGUCUUUGAAUCUGUUAAAAAAGAUCCAUUAAGGAAAAAAAAGGAGUGGAGAAAAAAAAAGGAAAAAUAAUAAAAAAGGAGCAAAAUAGGACUAAUAUAUAUACACACUACUGAAAAAGAUGAUAGGAUCAGAGAAUCACUGAUUUCAAAUCUGAAGUUACUUCAGAAGUCACUUCCUUCAUUUUGCAGAUGAGGAAAUAUAGAGAAUGGGUGACUUGUUUAGGAUCACAUAGGCCAAAGAAGAUUCAAGGAGUAACAGAGAGAUGGUGGUUGGAAAUAAAAGAAAUGAUAAGAGAUGACCAGUUAAGACAGAGCUAGCAAAACCAGGGAAUAUUAUAUAGGAUAAAAAUUCAAGUGAAGCCAGAGGAAGAUAAAGAUGGAUAUAGGGUAGAGGAGAAAAACAAAAGGAAGUUAGACAUAUAUGUCUUAUAUUUAACAAAUUCUCAUCUUAAACAGCCCUUCCUCACUCUGAGGUUAUGUGUUGAAUUGGUGAUUGGGUAAGGCAGUUAAUUGUGGAUUCCAGAUACAAUCGAAAAACAAUGGAAACUUUAGAAAGAUCUCAGUAUUAAUGUUUCAGCUUUCCCCUAGUUGCUUGAUCUUCCCCAAAAGUCUCCUCAGUGCUUCCUUCACCUCCUUGUCUCUCAGGGUAUAUAUGAGGCAUUUUAGUGCAGGAGUCCCUACAGCAAAGAAUUUUCCUUGGUCCUAGGCAUAGGAGUUCUUGGGCUGAAGGUAGACAGUGAUGACAGAAUUGUAGAAGGAGACCUCCAGGAGGUGGGAGGAGCAAGUCCCCAAAGCUUUUUUUCCAUCCUACUGCUGAAUUAAUCCUUAGCACAGCCUGGACAAUAACACCACAGGAAAUCAAAAUGAGUGUCAGCGGCACAAUCAGGAUGGGUACACUGGCCACAGCCAUCUGUGAGGUAGUGUCCUCACAGGAAAGAUGGAUAAGAGCUGGAACUUCAUAUACAAAAUCAUCAACUCUUCAUCAGGAGCAGAAUGGUAAAUGAAAAAUGGAUGAUGUCUGGGCCAUAGACUUUAACAGUCCAAAGAUCCAGGCUAUAGCUGCAUGUCUCUGCUUAAGGUGGGAGUACAUGAUGUUGCCACAUAUUGAUCAAAAGUCAAGCAGCAGGAUAUACUCAGUGGUCCCUAGGGAUAGGAACACAAAUAGCUGAAUUGCACAACCAGUAAAGCUGAUGGUCUCUGGACCUCAGAGGUUGGACAGUAACUUGGGAACACAUCUUGUGGUGAAGCAUAGAUUCAGGAAGAAGAGGUUGGAAAAAAAGAAGUACAUGGGAGUGUGAAGUUUGGAGUCCAGAAUAGAUUAGUAAAAUGAUGAAUGUAUUGUCAACCGAAGUCAGAAAAUAGGAAGUCAGUACCAACACAAAAAGGACUUUCUAUAACCUGGGGUCAGAGAAGUCCAAGAGAAUAAAAUCUCCUGGGGAACUUUUAUUAUUCAUGGCUUUACCUUUGACCUGGACUCUGAAGAAUGACAGAGAAAAAAAGAGAGAUGAGAUAUUUCACAAGCUUUUACAAUUUUUGUUUGUACUUGUGAGCUUGUCAAAACAUAGCAGUGAAGGUAUUUUUUCCUCCCUUUUCUUAUCUAAUGAUCCAUCUUCAUUCACUUCUCUCUCCACUGACAUCCCAUCAUAGACACAAUGUUUCUUUCAGCUCUGUUAAUUAUCAUCACCAUGUUCCACCCUUUUGAUAAGAAAGUUGUAAAUGUAAGAAAACCCAUGAUGUCCUAAUUAAUUAAUUGAAUAAUGGAGAGAACAUCAACGAUGUCCCUUCUCUCCCACUCUUCUAUGUUCUGCUUUUUUUUUUAAGAUGACUAGGAUAUUCUCUAAAAAUUAUAAUGGUAAAAAAUUCCUUUGUUUAAGAAAAUGAAGUCCAUGACCCGAGUAUACAUACACAUAGUAUAGGAUAUAUGAUUGGUAUUUGUUUUUUUAGGAGCAGGACACCACCCACACAUUUUAACCCUUUUCUCCUUACAAACUUGAGGCAAAUGGCUAGAUUUGGUCAUCUGUUCUGAGCCUGAGAAAUAGAAUUUUCCUCUUUUAGGAACCUAAUUGUAUUAGAAAGUGUCUUUUAUACCAUAUGCAAACCCAAUGAAAUGAUCCAGAAAAAAGAAAUGGGAGAUAUGAUUUAUGCACUUGAAAAGUCUUUGGUCUAGUUGGAGAGACAGAACAAACAUAAUAAUGGAAAAAACAGGAAAGAAAAUUGUGACAUGGGAGCCAUCUGCCAGUGGCUGCUGGAGGUCUAACUCAGACCUCUACAAUGGAUCUCUUCAUGUGAGAAGAUGAUGAUGAUGAUACAAGGAGACUGAGAGGCAGUUGCUGUUUUCUGACCUCUCUCCUCUUCCCUCUUGUCUCCAAUUUAUUUCAUUCCCAAUCCACAAGGAACAUCUGCGAAGGCUGCUUUGCAACUCCUUCUGUGGAGGUCUCAGAGAACUGACCUACCUCUACACCGAGGCACAAUCCUUAACAAUACACCAAAAUGUAGCGUCCUUCUGGAGGUCCCAGUUCGGGCGCCAAAAUGUAGCAUCCAGACUAGCUCUCUGGAGGAUCUUGGGAUCAGCCUUGGUCUUAGUGGAGUGGGCAGGAGAGCCACCAGGAGGAUGGUCAAGGAUGGAGAGUCUCAUUUCCAGUCCUCUUAGCCCUUAAAUACCUCAGUAUGUUAAACAUCAUUACAGCACACUAUAUGCAAACUAGAGAACCAUUAUCCCAUCAAUCACACUGAGCAAGCUUAUAAUUAAUAAGCACCCUGCUGUAAGUAUCCCUUGCUUCAAGUAGAACACAGGUGGUCGUGCCCUCCCUGACUUCUCAGGAAAGGAGGUAAAAACACAAAGGCAAAUGGAGAGCCAAACCAGACAUUGUCAGCAAGUUUCCUCUGGGCUGAAGGAUCUUAUACUUUAUCCAGAGUUUCCCCGCUAUCUGUGAUCCUCUACAGAAAAUGAAAGAUAAAACACACACAUACACACAUACAAAUAAAUUCAAUGAAAAGUACACAGGUUCAUGAAGAUUAAAGUGACAUGAAUUGGAAGGUUGUUGGGGAGGAGGCCUUUAUCUUUGGAAUAAAGAAGGGAAGAGUUGAAACAUGGCAGAAACAGAAGGAAGGCUGCUUAGGUCAAACCUCAGAGGUAAGAGAUAAAGAUCAGGCCAUUGGUCAGGUUAGCUGAGGGGAUGGAUGGGUGGAUAAGUAUGGAAAUGCAAUAGGCAACCCUUAAUGUUGGAGUCAAUUGGCUUUGAAAAGCCAUGUUAGGAAUGAUCUUACUUCUAGGUAGGAUUGCAAUUAGGAUUGCUUAAUGGUGGUCCAUCAUGUGUUUGAAGGUCCUUUCCUUGUGGGAUCUAGCAAUUUUUUUUUUUUUUUUUGGUAUCUGUCUUUCCAUUUCAUGGUUGAAGGAAUCUUCAUUAUCUAGCGAGCUAGCAAAGAGAUCAUUAUUUCUUUGCAUACUUACCUCACUUUUUUUCUUCUCUUUUUUUCUCUCGGUCUUUCUAUUAUUACCUGUUUUUCUCCUUUUUAGGCUUUCUCUUUGUCUCUGUGACUUCUCUUUGCCGUUGUUUUUCUGCCUCUCUCAAGGAAGACCUCAUCUAUAGUACUUGAGCGUGCACUGUCUUAUAUGAUUCAUUUUAUCUGCAGUUCUCCCCAAAUCAUCUCACACAGAGAUCUUGUUUAUUCUACAAAUAGGAGACAAAAAUUCCUUUUUGCUAACUGCCAAACUUAUCCUCAGAACAACUAGGGAUCAAAUUUUCUACCCACUCCCAGUCAGUGACAGAAAUCUCCUAGAUGUUCAAAGAGUCUUUCAGUCCAGUGCCUAGCUCUAACUAACUCAUCAAGACAAGCAGAAAAGAGAAUAAGGGGAAAUCGCUAUAAACUAUAGUUUUGGAGGCAUUAGGGACUUUGCUUUAGGUAAAACUAGUAAGACCAUAAAAAAUCAGGAGUUUAUCUUGUUAGGGAGCUCUUACUCAGCAAAAUCUCCUUGGUCUAGGUGUAAAAACAAAGGGUUGGGGAUUGGCAAAAUUUUAAGUAAUGGUUGAUUUCUUGGGUGGUUGUGAUGUGAUAUGAUUUUGUUUCCCCUGAUUUUAGGGAGGCUUCUGUUUUAACUAUAAGUCAGGAAAUCCUAAAUUUUUUGGUUUUGGAGUCAGUCUCAGGAAACUUCCAUGCCCAAUCUAUCUGAUUCUGAAUAGAUUAUUUCUUAGUUCAUUGCUGCCUCAUGAUGUGGUCAGUGAGAAUCAAAUUUCAGAGACCCAUUCGGAGACUCCACUCAAUCUGAACACUCCCUAGCCCUACCCUUGGGUCAUAUCCCAUGCCAAUAAUAGACUCUCUAACCCUACCCUUGGGCCAUAGAACUAACAUGCUAGUGAUAGACUCUCUAGCUUUAUCCUUGGGCCACAAAAAGCUGGAUAAAUAUGUUCUCUGUCCCUCAGCAUUAUGCUAUUCCAGUAAAGAAUCUAGCCCAUUGUUCUCAGCAUCAAUAAAUCCUUUGCCACUUAACUUGGAGACUGGGUCUGUAAAUUCUUUCACCAUAUCCGCUGCACCAACUUGGGACCCCCAAAUGUUGUUAGGGUGUCUUAUCCCUCAACAUUUGGUGGCCCGCAUGGGGAUUCCCCCCAAAUUUUACAUCCUUCUUGUUAAGAUUAGCCC